GUUUCUGUUUCUGACUUGAAGUGGCUCCGACUUCAGGUUGGCAUCAAUGUUCCAAUUCCAGUUCCUUUACCCUUCUUCUCAUUUACUGGCUCCAAAGCUUCUUUUGCUGGGGAUCUCAACUUUUACGGCAAGGCAGGCGUUCAGUUUUUCACACAGAUUAAGACAGUUACUCAACAAUGGAAGGAUCUACCAAGCAGUGCUGGAGUGUCCUUGGCAAUGCCGACUUCUCAAAAGACAUGAUGAACAAAAUAACUCAAUGUGCUUAAUUAGAAACUCCCAUUAGACCUCAUGUGCUGAUGUUUGAUCUUUUUCAACCUCUCGCCGUUACUGUGAUUACAAACGUCACUGAAUUUUAUGUUUAUUUUGUGAGAAAAGGAAAGGUGAUGUAAAUGAACUUCCAGGAUGUUUCUUUUUCUUUCCAGUCUCUUCGAUAAAUUCGUAGACUUAGAUAAAGCCUGAGGAUCAGAAACUCGUCUGAAGGUCAAGAAGACAUUAUUGAGUGAAAAAAACUCAUUGUUGAUGCU